AGAGAGGAGUGGCUUUACGGGGGGAGUGGAUCAUCUCAUUCUGAGAAAGAUGAACAAGCUUGGACCUCUCUCUGGAAAUUGAAAGUUCCGUCGAAGGUGCGAAUCUUCCUAUGGAGGCUUGCACAUCAUUCACUACCCACAACGGAUGUUUUGAAGAGGCGAAACAUGUCAGAACGAGAUGUGUGCCCGCUAUGUGGAUGUGAAGAUUCUUGGCGCCAUGCUUUGGUUGCAUGCACGAUGGCCCGCUGUGUAUGGGCGCUUUCGGAUGAAGCUUUGGUGUCAAUCAUGUCUGAACACGAGGAGUCCAACGCAAAAAUUUGGUUAUUCGAACUAAGUGAGAAGCUGGACCAUGCUAGCUUCACGAGGAUGAUAAUAACAUUGUGGUCAUUAUGGUAUGCUAGGAGAAAGGCUGUUUAUGAAUCAAUUUUUCAGAGUCCUCAACAAACGGCGUCCUUUAUUAACAACUAUAUUGAUGAGCUGGGCCAAGUGAACGCCAGGGGAGUGCAUGAUGGUACCUCUAGGGCUGCACCACCACGACCGAAGCGGUGGCUUCCCCCAAUGAGUGACAAUGCAAAGAUCAAUGUUGAUGGGGCUGUGGUGAGAACUAGGAGAGGAGGAGCUAUUGCAGCUCUAUGUCGCGACCAAGACGGUCAAUACUUGGGGUCAUCGGCGGUGGUUUACUAUGGGAUCACGGAUCCCUUAAUGUUGGAGACUUAUGCAUGCCGUGAGGCACUUGCCUUGGCAGAAGACCUGGGUGAGCAGAAGAUCUGUGUGGCCUCAGACUACCAAGAGGCGGUGAAUGACAUAAACAGGGGAACAGGAGGCCCCAAUGCUGCGUUGGUACAUGAAAUAAUGAAUCACUGUAAUAGUUUUACUUCGUGCUCUUUUGUUUUCGAGCGUAGAAACUUCAAUUUCGAAGCUCAUAAUCUCGCCAAGUUUGCUUGUAACCUAGAGAUAGGUAGACACGUUUGGUUGGGCACCCCCCAUGACCCAAACCUUGUACCGAUGACAAUUCCCCUUGAAUAA
rnacentral:rRNA from 1 species